rnacentral:lncRNA from 1 species
UUUAUCAUUAAGACAUACAUUUAAAUUAUUUUCUUUUCUUAUAUGAUAUUAUAAGUUUUUCUUUAAUUUAGAAUUCGUUUUUUUGUGUUUGAUGUUGUGCGCUUUUUUUUUUUGUACUUUUUUACGUUUCAAGACUUUUUCUUGUAUUGUCGUCACUCCUAAUCAUCGUUGCGUCUUCCUCUACCAAAUAACAUGUUUUUACACUCUUACUCCCUUCCUUCUUUAACAUGCACAUUAACCCUUCUCUUUCAACCGUCAUGAGCCACCUUUUUUUUUUCGUUCGUGUGUUGUCCCUUGGUCUUAGCAACCAUGCGUUGUCACCAACUAGCGCGACCACCUGCUAACCCAACUACUGUCUAUUCUUUUUGUCAUACACUCGUGUCCCACCG